ensembl:lncRNA
GGGAAAGGUCUGGCAACCAGCUGUCGUCACAGCAUUUUUCUGAAUUAAGCUUUCUGGAGCAGUGUGGGCUCCGCUUCGUAGAGGAUAUGGCUAAUGUGGAAUGGAAGUCCAAAGACAAGACACUAGACUGUAGCCCACCAGGCUCCCCCGUCCCUGGGAUUCUCCCAGCAAGAAUACUGGAGUGAGUUGCCAUUUCCUCCUGCAGAGGAUCUUCCCGAGCCAGGGAUUGAACCCAUGUCUUUGUACAUCUCUUGCUUUGGCAGGUUGUUAAAAAAAAUUGAGUGACCAUUUAAGAAUCAGAUAAUUUCAAGAAAAAGAUCCAGAUUUUUUGAAACGUAUUUUGGGACAGUGGAAGAUUUGGCAACGCAGGCCAGCAUUUGUCUGGGGCUGGGCAUCAGCUGCCCCCUUGAGAAGGAGCGGACGAACACACGCCAUUGGGAUGCAGGCCAGGACUCCAGGGUGAACAAAUAUGCUUCUACAUAUGGCCCUUCUCUCCAUGUUUAUGCCUGGUUCCUUGUAGGCACUGGAUUUUAAAAUCUCCACGGUAAAGGAGAUUCAGCUGCAAGUCUUGCUGGGACAGAACUUGCUUCUC